UAAACUUUCUACAUUUUUGAAACGAUAUUACACUCUAAAAAACGUGAGCCAGUUGGGUUAUAUUGUUUGGUUGUUUUAUCAGUGUUGGGUAGUUUUUGUGUAACCCAACUUGUUGGGUUAUAUGUUGGGUAAUUUUGAAGCAGAGCCAGCUUAAUAGAUACAUAGCUGUUUCUCAAUAUUACUUUCUCUAGUCCACAAAAUGUAUUUUAAACAUAAGUUCAGGCGAGAAUAUAUAUGUAUAAUGUUCAAAUUUGCAGUCGGUUUGUAAAGUGAACGCCAAUUUUAAAGUUUAAUUACACAAAGUCGGAAUGUUACCGGCGUGACCACCGGGUGUCAGUGUUCUGCUUCCCCAGAGAGAACUGCUCCCUUCCCCCACACAGAGCAGCUGAACUUCUGCCUCUCACUGCAACGGUACCUGAAGCGGGAGUUUACUAUUCACCUCAGGAUUCAUGAACAGUUUUUCAUCGACUUAUCUCUGAUUUAUUUGAAGGAAAAGACCCUGAUGGAUAAAAGAUGGAUAUUUUUUCCUGGAGAAGCUAAAACAAUGUAACUUUGAGGUUCUGAUACCAGCUUUUACAAAGUUAUUUACAGAGUUCACCAGACUUCUCUGUGUUAUUUCCUGACCAUGCCGAAAAGCUAUUUGAAACUUGGGCAUUGCAUUUUCCAGACAGAAUCCUGCACUUCCCAGCCAAGAACCAGGAGCAUCAACAAAUCACCUACAGAACCCCAUGAUGAUAUUCCAACUCCUGUCUACAAAAGUGGGAAGAAAAUCUUAAGUCUAUGUUGGGACCAACAUGGUUGCAUUCUUCUGAGAGCCUGAUGUGACAAAACCAUUCCCAUUUGUCCUUGGAUUGGAAGAUGGCGAUCUCUGCCAUCAAGCCUUCGUUGUUUUUGACAGACAGUCACUCCAGCAAUACACCCUCCUUGGUGAUGUUGACAUGUUUUAAACUUUUUUUUAUGUUUUGGACAUUCAUUUUACUAAGCAGUGCACAUCAGUGUGGGUGUUUUUGAAGACUGUUGUUUACAAACUCCCAAGAACGGAAUCCCUUUCUAUAAGAAGUCUGUGUAGUUAUUUGUCAUGCUAAGGUGAUAACUCAUGUUGAUCAUAUAUUGACUGUUUGUGCAACUUUGUGUUGAUCUUAUGUGUUACAUUAACCAUUUCUUAUUACACGGUUCUCUAAAAUGCUAGAUUCUGAUUGGCCAGUCGUGACAUUCUACUACUGCUCAAAACUAAAAACUCCAAUGCUGCAAAUCAUUUUGACAGGUACAGUUUUAUAUUACACAAAAAUUAAAUAUCAAUGUCUAUUAAUUACAUAUCCGACAUUAAAUUUAUAAAUGAUUAAAUGUGUUCGUGACAUUUGUCCUGAAGAAACUGUUGGGGCUUUUUUCUGUGAUGACAUGCUGCCAAUACAUUAUCCCUUACUUAUUCAACUUUUUACUUGAUCUAAUUGUAAUGUUAACUGGGUGUCUGUCAUUUUAGAUUGUGAGAUAUAAUACUAAUAUAUUUUUUAUAUAUAUUUAUUUAUUUAUUUAUAAUAUAUAAACCUAUGUAUGUUUAUUAAAAAGUGAAAAUGCUUAAUGGAAAUAAUUAAAUAACUAA